UUGCACUUGCACAUGGCUGACCCAGGUUCAAUCCCCGGCAUCCUAUAUGGUCCCCCAAGCACCGCCAGGAGCCAUUCCUGAGUGCAGAACCAGGAGUAGCCUCUGAGCAUCGCUGGGUGUGGCCCAAAAAGAAAAAACAUUUUGGGUGGUUUUGUUUGGGGUGAAGGGUGCUCCC
rnacentral:miRNA from 1 species